rnacentral:rRNA from 1 species
CCUACGGGAGGCAGCAGUGGGGAAUAUUGCACAAUGGGGGAAACCCUGAUGCAGCGACGCCUCGUGAGUGAAGAAGUAUUUCGGUAUGUAAACCUCUAUCAGCAGGGAAGAAAAUGACGGUACCUGAUUAAGAAGCCCCGGCUAACUACGUGCCAGCAGCCGCGGUAAUACGUAGGGGGCAAGCGUUAUCCGGAUGUACUGGGUGUAAAGUGAGCGGAGACGGCAGCACAAGUCUGGAGUGAAAUGCGGGGGCUUAACCCCGGAACUGCUUUGGAAACUGUGCAGCUAGAGUGCAGGAGAGGUAAGUGGAAUUCCUAGUGUAGCGGUGAAAUGCGUAGAUAUUAGGAGGAACACCAGUGGCGAAGGCGGCUUACUGGACUGUAACUGACGUUGAGGCUCGAAAGCGUGGGGAGCAAACAGGAUUAGAUACCCCGGUAGUC